rnacentral:rRNA from 1 species
CCCAUGAACCUUUACUGUAGUCUGGUACUGGAUUCUGGUCAGUUGUAUGUAGAAUAGCCGGGAGGCUUGGAAGCGGUUUCGUCAGGAACCGUGGAGCCGAAAUGUGAAAUACCGGUUUCAGCUGGGCGGAGUUCUAACCGCGAGGAAUCAUCUUCCCGCGGAACAAUGCCAGAGGGUCAGUUUGACUGGGGCGGUUUCCUCCUAAACAGUAACGGAGGAGUUCGAAGGUACACUCAGUGCGGUCAGCAAUCGCACGUCGAGCGCAAGGGUAGAAGUGUGCCUCACUGCGAGUCGGACACGACAAGCAGACGCGAAAGCGGGACCUAGUGAUCCGGCGGUAGCUUGUGGAAGCGCCGUCGCUCAACGGAUAAAAGGUACUCUGGGGAUAACAGGCUGAUCGCGGCCGAGAGUUCACAUCGACGCCGCGGUUUGGCACCUCGAUGUCGGCUCUUCGCAUCCUGGGGCUGGAGAAGGUCCCAAGGGUUUGGCUGUUCGCCAAUUAAAGCGGAACGCGAGCUGGGUUCAAAACGUCGUGAGACAGUUUGGUCCUUAUCCUCUGUGGGCGCAGGAAAAUUGAGGGGAAGAUUCCCUAGUACGAGAGGACCGGGAAUCACGAACCAAUGGUGUUUCGGUUGUCGCGCCAGCGGCAGGCCGGGUAGCUACGUUCGGAACGGAUAAGCGCUGAAAGCAUCUAAGCGCCAAGCCUCCCCCAAGACAAGUUUUCCCAAUCGCAAGAUUCUAAAGUCAGGUUGUAGACCACGACCUUGAUAGGCCGAAGGUGUAAGCGGUGCGAGCCGUUGAGCUGAUCGGUACUAAUCAGACGUGUGGCUUAGCUUA